rnacentral:tRNA from 1 species
GAGCCCGUGGCUCAAUGGUAGAGCGGUCGACUCAAAUACCAAAGAAAGUGGGUUCGAAUCCCAUGUGUUCC